rnacentral:ncRNA from 2 species
GGUCAAGAGCGCCAGCGCGAAGCCCCGGCUCGCUGGCCGGCAACCCUCCACCUGCGGUGGGGUGCCCCGGGUGACGACCUGGCCGACCGCGCCCGCGUGUCGGCAAGCGAGGUGA